AAACUUUUUGUAGAAUUGGGGAGCUAACACCUUCAACCAUGGCGGAAUAACACGGCUCUGCUCACCACGUAAACAGUGGUUGUGGUACUGUUCAUGAUGUGAAAGUACCUGUGGUACUGUUCGCCUCGUGGACAUCCCCAGUUUGGCCGCCUACAAGAUGGGAAAUGCCAGUGACAUUGCUGAAUAUCAAUCUGCUUCAUCAAUAACAAUCCCGACUAGCUACACCACGACCGUGUUUGCAUCUACUACACUAUGUCGUGCCUUGCAUCAUCAUCUUCCUCAACGCACAUGUGCUGCCGUCAGAAGCAAUGAUUCCACCUCCAACACCUAUAGCGCAGUCAUCUACAUCACCUUUUCCAACAGCAACUAUACUGACAGAUCUUGUCUCUACUUUGACCUACUGCACCACUACGUCAAUGACUACUUCUACCUUGGAGACAUGUAUCAAGGCGCCACCUGCCAACACUACACCAACAUUAGACCUAGAUGCAAGAGAUAAAUCUACCAUCGACAUGGAGGGGUUUGCCUCCACCAGAUCGUCUACUUCUCCAGCCCUCACUCUACACUAGGAUGACAAUGAAUCUACAUCUACAACUACCCCGAUUUCAUCCUUCAUUGACAACUCCGCGGAGCAACACGUACAAGUGAUUGUUACUAUGACUCCUGUCACGGGAACUAUCAUGGCAUCACCGCGCUCGUCGACAGUUUUUGAGGCCAUGACCUCGCAAUCUCCUACUCAAUGGUCCUAGGCUCCUGGGUUCUUGGAUCGUCAAACAUUCCCACUCCCUCCAACCCUUCCAUGCCAUUAAUUACAUUGAUCAGACUUUAGCCACUUUUCAAAUCAUGGCCAUACAUUAUUUAAUGUAGUAAUUUCCUUCCAAAAUAUUCUUUAUUACUUUCUCCUAAAUAUUGCUUUCCCGAUCACCUCAAUACCACUCACAUCCAGUUCCAUGUUCCCUGCCACUAAUUCCAUUGCACACAUUAGUUUUUAAAACCGCUGUGUUAGCACAGGUGAUAUAUAUUAAUAGGCUUGGAAUGACCCUGCAAUUGUGUGGCUAGAGAUUAAUUUUAUUCGCAGGUCCAAAAAGGAGAGGAAUUUACAUUAACUCAAUAUAGGUGCUAAUUUGCAAUGCUUAACCGUUCGUUAAGCUUAUUAUAGGAAGUAAAUAUAACUUCAAAGUGUUGCAAAUCUGGUUUUCCAUCCACGUAAACACAUGUACUAAGGUUGAGAAUACCAUUCAAGAGUAAAAUGUACCUAGGAUUCUGAUCUUGGUCCAUAUAUAUAGUCUCUUAUUGUGAGCAUCUAGAUCCUUAAACAACUUUUUAAAUGGUUCACUCUAAGUUCACAUUAGGUGCAGUAUUAAGUUUGGAUUUUCACUUGAAAUGAACCACUUGACAAGUUUAAGGGCUCACAUGUUCACUUAGAGAGUUAUUUUAUCUCGAACACGUAAGAGAAUUGUGUAUCAUUAUAUUAAGAAGAAUAAAGAGUUUAGGGUCUAAAUGGAAAUUCAGAACAAGUUAAAGGUCCAUGGGUGCGCAUUACUUCAUUUUAAAACACCAGAGUCCUAUUCUUGAAGGAAACCUGCCAUAUUUAGCGUUCAUAUAUCUGUGCAUAAAUAAGGUAAAAGAGCAAAUAAAUGGUUGUCCUGCUGGUUUUGAUGCAUGCACGAUUAGUCUUUGUCCCAAACUAAAAACAUGACACCUUCGGUUUCUUCAUGUUGGCUGAUUGUAACUUGCAUUUUUUUUAGUCUCAGAAUUCUAAUUGAUUCAGCGCGCGCCAUCAAGGCAACAUGGGUUGUGUUCGAUGAAAGAGGACCCAAUGACAAAGGUCUUCUGGACCUCAUCAAAUUGUUCAGCGCCUUGCAGCCUGCAAGUAAGCUUGUUUAUACCUUGACACAAAGUCUGAAUCAUGUCAGGCAAGGAAACUAAAAUCCCUGGUUUGAAUUUUUCUCUUGCUUGCAAGUACUGCUGUGUAUUAUUCUGUGUGAACUGAAAUAUGCCGGUGUUGAUCUCCAACAGGAGCAUGUUCUUGCCUGCAACAACUCAUAUGCAGAAUUGCAGAGAUAACCAUGCCAUGUUGAUCUUCAACAAGAGCAUGUUCUUGGCAUACAUCUAUCUUUACGACGACAAGACUUGCGAGCUGGAUGGCUCAACAAAGACCACAUUGCGUCACCAUUAAACAUUAUUGUGGAUAUGUAAGUGUAGUAUCAGAGUUUCAGUUUGCUGGUAUGAAUAUGAACCCUCAGUGAAAACAUAGGUUGGUAUUUUUCAAGUGUCCAUCGCUCAUGUGGUGUUGUCCAGAUUGCAUAAUGUUCUAGAGAGAUAAGGUACUCAGGUUCAGAAGCAGCAUUAUCUUCUCCAAUGGAAUACAAUAUCUGUGGAGUCGAGGCUGGUAGGUCUAUAUCAUAAUUUUGUUUCACUAUCUGAUCAUUCAUCUGGAUAGUUUAAGUCUCCUAAUAACAUAUGUGUGGGGUGGGGGUUAUUACUUGUAACAAGUUUUCGUUGUGCUACAGUCAGGUGCUCAACAUCUCAUCAGCAUGAUUAGCAAGAAACAACAGGAGAAAAGUUGUAAGGCCAUAGUAGUCUUUUUUUCAGAUUCACUUAUCGGCAGUUACUUGUCACGGCGAUCAAGGACUUAUCAUUUGAACUAUGUAUCUGCAACAAAGGGUGCUACAGACCGGGUUAUAGAACAAAGGUGACAAGAAAGUUUAGGUUAUACAUGGAUGGAGAUGUAUAGCUCAGUACGAUCAGGACAUGGAGGAGAUAUCCUACCACAAAGGUACUAUUGCUGUUACGAUCAAGGACUGCUAAAUCUGAAACAAAUAUUUGAUCCAAGGAAAAAUAAAAGAAAGCAGAAGGAAAUUUCCAUCGUACACAGCACAGGUUGAUCAACAAAGUUAAGAUGACAUAAAACUAAGUUAAAACUACAGCUGAUACAAGAGAGAACCCACAUGACUAAAACUAGAUAAACAUGGGAUUCCGCUGAAGAUAGCCUGCUCCUAGCUAGCCUGCUACUACAUAACACAAUUUUGCACUUGAGACAAGCAACAACCAUGGAUUGGUCAGCAGCUGCAUGCAGAACAUCUCUCACAUGUUCCCAUUGAAGAAAGCAUCACCAUUGCUGAGGAAAUCAGAUUGUCAGAAAGAAAAAGUUUAGAUAAUUAAACCUUAUUUAAGUAUUCAUCAGUUUCACAUGUAAAUCCUGCUGUAAAAUAAAAGGAUAGGAAAAGAGCAAGAAUGGUCUUACUUGCUUAACCCAGUCAGCCAAAAAGUCAUCCAAAUCAUCAAUCAUCGCCCCAUCUUGCGCUUCGCUUGUUCCGGUAGGGUGUUCAUUGUUGUUACUCACUUGAUCACCAACAGCUUGCUGAUCAACGGUGCCACCUCCAAGGAAGUUUCCAGAUGAACCCCUAUCACUCAGCAUCUGCGUCGGCAUAACAGAAUUUCCUAUCUGAAGGUUAGCCAAUGCAGGUCCAACACUUGAAGAACUACCCAAGGCAGAACUACCGACCGACAUUGCAGAGAUUCCAAAGUUGAAUGGUGCCACCUGCCCACUAAAACCUAGCAUUGGUGUGGUUCUCCCUGAUAGUCCUGCCAUUUGAUUAUGAUAUUCACUUCCAAAAGUUGGAACAUCGCCAGAGGAGGCUACAAAUCUUGAUGUCUGGUUGAUCCUGGCACUGCUUCCCUGUGAUGAACUAAUAAUAGAUGUUCCUGCACUAUGACCAACAUCAGGGAACCUCGAUUGCACACCAACACUCCAAGAGUUGCUAGGGUUACAAAGUCCAGCAAAUUGGUGAGAUUCCCUAGCAACUUGGUUGAAAUGGCCAGUUGGAGAUGGCUGAAUCUGGAUUGAAGGCUGGUUCACCAACUCCGACGAAUGCGAUGGUAAAUGAUGACUCGAAGGAGCCACUUGGUUGAAUAGGCCAGUAGAAGAUGGCUGAAUCUGAAUUGAAUGUUGGUUUGCCAACUCAGGAGACUGCAACGCUAAAUAACUGGGAAGAGCCGGCAUAUCACCACCUGCUAUCUCUUCAAAGAAGCUGUCGGCAUCAAAAGGAAUACCUCUAUUUGCAUCCAACAUCUUGCGACGCAAUAUGCUUGCAUACGAGCUGCAAGAACGAGUCGAAGGAAAGUGCAUGCUGGUGGUCGAUGGUGAACUGUCAUUUGAGAUGUUUGCAAAUGAAUUGCCAGAAGUACCAGAAGAGAAAGGUCUGCUUGUGUUGAACACCACACCAUUUGAUAUAUUUCCAGAUGAGCUGCUAGAAGGACCAGAAGGGAAGCACUGGCUUGCACUUGACAGCCCACCAAUUGACACGGUUCCAUAGGACCUGCCAGAAAAGAUUGAUCUGCUCACAUCCUGCACUGGCACUGACACUGGCACAACAUUUGUGGGCAGGUUGACACCAUUGCCAACUGGUUCGGUAUCCUGCUGUAAAUUGUGUGUUCCGAAUGCUGAUGGGCAACUUAUCCUUGCAAAACCAUUGCUUGAGCUGGACGUGCCAAUAGAGGAUGGAGAUGGUUGCACAAGUUCUAGAUGAUCCUGGGAACUGUUUGGUCCAUUCAUGUUGGCAGUUGUGUCACUCAGCCAUGCUUGUGGUUCAUCAACAAAAGGAUUUGAAUGGCUGAGUGUGCCCUCACUCAGCUUCCUCAGGUAGAUACGGUACUUCUGAAAUCAAAAGAUAGACAAGUUUAUUUCGUUAAUAAAAAAGAUUGAUAAGGACGUCAACACACAAUUGAAAGUGUUUUGUAGUAGUAAUGUUACAAAUGUAUGUGUUAAUCCCAAACUCAAUAUUUGUGUGCAAGCCAUUAGAACUUUUAUGUGUGGCACACGCAAGGUUCAGACGAGUGUCGCACACACAAAUUCCGUUGACAUAAACACAAGUAUUGUGUUUGAGAUGAUAACCCAGAAGAAACAAGUUUGAUUGAAUAUAUUGAACAAUAUUAUAGCAGAAAGAACUCAAACAUAGUAUUCAAGCAUAAUAGUAGAAACAAAACCUGCAGAUGACUUGCAACAUUGUCUCUACUGAGGCCGUCCACAUUCAUCACUUCAAGUAUGUUCUUUGGAACAGCCCCUGCAUUAACAGAAACAAAAUAAUUGUUACUUGAAACAAAUUUAACAUAAGAAUUAUGCUUCUUGUUGAUAGAUUUGCAACAAAAAGAGAAUCUUACUGUCCAUGCCAAUCUGAUUGAUGGCUUCCACAAACUUGCGGUGUAGCUGACCAGACCACUUGAUCCUUUGCCUCUUCUGGGUUGAUGUCCCCUCCUUGUCCUUUUCAGCACCAUCUCCAUCCUUUUUGUUCUUCUUCGAGUGCUUCGUGUGGUGUGCACUUUUCUUCCCAUCAGUGACGCUGUUCCUCACAUCGGUUCUAUCCUUCCUCACCACAUGCUUCCAUAUGUUUCUAAUAUGUUCCAUGCGUGUUGGCUUCACCAAAUAGUCACAAGCCCCGUUCUUUAUACCCUUCAUCAUAAUGUCCAUCUCAUCGUUUGCGGAUAGCACUGCAUGACACAUGGUCAACACAAGAUUAGUUAUGAAAUGCAAAAGCCAACAAGCUUGAUAGACUGGACAUCAAAUAAUUAACGUGCCUUUAUGUUAAUCAUUAGAGAUAUUUUUCCUUUUUCAUUUUAUUGAGUCAUUAUAUGUGCUGUUUACAUUAUGUUUGAAGAAAGUGUGUCACACAUGCUGCAGAACACCAAGUCCUGGCCAUGGCCACUUUUGCGUUUCAAAGAAUUUAAUAAGAGAAUUUAUAGAAUGUACAUUGUUCACCACAUCCUUAUUAUGAAAUCAACAAUAGCUCUAAUGACCAAUAUUCUUUUAAAGAAAACCACAAAAGUUUGUAGUUAUCUUGUGUGCACCAAGAGCUUACUAACCUACUGUGAUGCAUGAAACAUCAAAUGGUAGGAUUCUUAUUCGCUUGAUUUCAGCUAGUGAUUAUGAACUAACAAUAAUGUACAAAUUGUACUAGAAGCGACAAAAAAAUCAAUUGCACGUAGGGCUUACAUACAAACCUUAACUAAUGUAUGAAACUAAAAAUAACAAAGUAAAGGGAUCAACUUAAUGCCUUGACAACAAAAAAAUAUAGCAUGUAGGACCUCCAAACAAACUGUAAUGUAUGAAACUAAAAAUGACAACAUUAAGUGAUCAAUUCAACACCAUUUAUGGCUGGUAGACAAUUGGUAACAUACAAAAUUAUAAACAAGAAAAUUCAAUUGCAUGUAGGGCUUACUAACAAACUGUAAUAGUAUAUGUCGACGUUUAGUAACGUCAACUGGUGAAGAUUUGCCGCGUGAAUUCUCGGAUGGAUUAGCUCGCAAGACACAGGAGAUUUAUACUAGUUUGGGCGAUCCGCCCUACGUCCAGCUCGUGGUACAAGUUCUUUAUUCAUGUGCUUGAGGAGCACAGGGCUCAAGUUUGUAGUAGGGGUUACAAACGGUGCGUGUGUUCUACUGGGGAUCGAAUCCCUCUCCCGUUCCCCUCCAUGCCCUUAUAUACACGGCUCAUGGGAGGUGUUACACUGUUGGUCGCGUCCUCUUAUUCAGUCAGGCGUAUCCCUCUGACCAGUGGCCAUGGGCCCCGUCCCUCAGUCGGGGCUUCUCCUCGCUUGACUUCCGUCGAAACCUUCGUCCGGGGCCCGUUCGUCCGGUCGCCUCGGUCACCGAACCUGACCCCUACACUUAUCCGAGGGCGGCACCUGCCAUCAGUCUCAUCACCUGGCGUUGCCAUGAUUGUGGACGGAGACUGGGCAGGCAUGACCGGGCACAGUGUUGCGACACCGUCCCCGACUGGGGAUCUUUGUCUUGAAGUGGUUGUCGUGCUCUCCUAGGCACAGAAUACGGUACGCCUGACUGGUCAGCCCGUGUUUUCUUGUCUCAGCCCACGCGAGCACCGCUACGAUUGUCAUAUCAGGCAGACCUAGCCACGCCCUAGGGACGUGGUAGGCCUGGCCCAUCAUUGCGCCUCGACCUUCGCUUGGUAACUUGGGCCAGGCUAGCAAACUGUUUAUCUUGAUUCCCGGGCCUCCUUCUGGGGUACCGCCGGUUAGCUAAAUAAUGAUGUCAGUGGUUUUUCGUUCGGCCCAAUCGGUAUCUUCUUCCUAAUCUCACCCUUUUCCGGACUUGUCGAUCCGGGCUUGUCGAUAGAUUAAAGUAUCCCUAAUCUAGAUACCCGUAAGUAUAUGAACUAAAUUAGAAGUAACAAUAUGAGUGGUCAGUUCAACACCAUCUAGCUCUUAUGAACAAGCAGAAACGUAGAAAACACAUGCAAAAAGUUCAAUUUUUUUGUGGAGCUUACAAACAGGCAUAACAUAUGGAAUUACAAAUGAUAAAAUUAAGUAAUAAUCAUCUUGGCUGCACCACCAUGCCCUUACGAGAAACUAGGAACAACCAAAAUUGCAGAAAACUUAAACUAUAGUAUAUUAUAGUUUGAUUGCAACGGAAGAGAAAUGCACCCAAAAAAUAAGGUAUUAUGAUUAGCAUGCGACCAUUCAUUGAUAUCCUAGUAGCCAAUGCAAACAGCUGCAACCUGAACAUUCACAAUCAAUAAAUCUAUCGGAUAUCGCAUGCAACCUGAGGUACAUACAACCUAUUCAGUGCAUCUAUUCAAGUCAUAAUAAUAUGAAACAGGCACUACUUCUAAUUCUCAUUAUUGCUAUACUCUAAGAAACAUGGUAAGAUUCACGAGCACAAAAAUGGUAGGUGAUGAGUCUGAGCAAGGGUUUUACUGAUGACUGGGAUAUCCAUCUCCAGGCCAAUGAGCUCGAGGAGCUUGAAACCGUCAAUGCCGGGCAUGAAAACAUCGCUGAUAACCAGGUCAAACUGGUCAUCCCUGUCCUUCCUCUCCCUGAGCAUGUCCAGUGCCGUCUCCGCCUCCAUCACUGUUGUCACUGCAUCGCAAUAAUUCCAACAAAAAAAAGAGGAAAUCACCAAAAAAAUCAUCAUAUGGCCUUGACCUCUGAUCAGUCGGUCAUAAAGGAAUCGGAGCCAAGAAGGCAUGAACGAAAGCUCACCAUUGUUGUAGUUGCAAAGCUGUAGCAGUCUCUUUAGGACCGAGAGGCCGGUGCAGUCAUCGUCUACGGCGAGCACGCGCAGCCCUGCUAGGAACUUGUUCAUGUCCAUCUCUUCCUCCAUCAAAACAAACACGAUCAACAGCAAGAAAGCAACCUUAGAACAGCAAAAAUCCUGCAAGAAAUCUGACAACACCAAGAAAAACACCCCCAAACCCAAGAAGAUUGGACCUUUCUUUACCUGCUGCAAUGGCUUCCGUCCAAGAAUUUCCUGGAGGCUGGAGCAACACAACAAGAGGAUAUGAGUGUGAAGAAGGGAGUGAGAGAAGAACUCGAGGUGAAGAGCAAUGCAGCAGUGUGGAGGGGGAUUUAUAGCAGGGGGGCUGGGGGAGAAGGGCGGAUUCCAAACCAUGGGUCUGCAAGGAUGCAAGGUGUUCAACCUGGAGUUGGAUUCGCCUCUCAUUAAUUCCUUCCUUCAGUUAGAUAUGGUUCUAUCACCAGUGUGCUGGCCUUGCUUGUCUUUUCUAAGCUUAAGGCUAUAGUUCAGUUACUACUGGAUGGAAACCAGAGAAGAAUUGCCCAUGGAUUUCACUGGUUUUAAACCAAAUGUCAAAGGGUUGUUUUAGAGAGAGAGAGAGAGAGAGAGAGAUAACAAAAAAUUAUUAUUAUUGUAGAAAUGCCAAGAUUAUUGGGUGUAAUCUUGGAAACCACAUGCCUUUCAUGCCACGUGAAAAAUCUGAAUGAAAGACAUGAAUGUAUCAUCACCCAAGAUCAUCUUUGAUGUCUAAUAUGUUCCUCCUAUGGCGGAAUGAGCUAGUCAUUACCCUCUUUUGGCAAAAAGCGGUUAUCGCAUGAGCUGGGUGUGGAGGUAGCAAACGUAAUGAUUGUUGUGGCAAUUGUUGGCGUGUAGCCUACUUGUAUCGGUAACGGUGGAAAUAUGUGUGAUGUCGUCUAUAUCAAUCAACGUAUAAAUUAAUGACAUUUUUGAAAUGUUGAUUAUUUCAAAAAUAAAAUCUGAAACUUUGGGGAUAUUCAAAUUAGUAGUGCCAAGAUCAACCCAAGUUGUAGCUGAGAUAAGAAACAGCCGAUUAUAUUAAAAGUUUUCAAGAUGGAUAAGGAAUGAGAUAGUCUGACCCUGUUUCAAACCACAGCUAGGUACGUAAUACAGCUCGUGUACAUGAUCCAUUGAAUUAUGUCCAUGGAGACAAAGUAUUGCGUUAAUUCCAACUAUUUUAAGGGAAAAUACUUAUUGCUAGAGCUCCAAGGUAAUAUAGGGAUACCAUAGUGUAUAGUGUCUAAAUUUUUCUCCAAAAUAAGUAGUGGAAGUUGUUGCAUGGGGAAUCUCGAUGAAAAAUAUUUUCUUCUAGUAGCUCGAAAUCAGUAGUACCUCACUGGAGUUUAGCAGCAUUCUCUCGGGUCUUGGUUUGUAGUUUGAUUUUUUUUGUGUACGGAGAAUAAUCAAAUUAUACGCUCUGAAUUUAUUCAUCCAGCUCAUCUCUAAUGUCUAAUCCGCUUGACCUUCUAUAUGCAUGUAUGAAUGAAGGAGCAUGUCCGGACCCUCUUUUUGAGAAAAAAAAUGGUUGUUGCAACGACUUCACAGAAGUGGUGUAACGUUUAUGGGUUUCGGGUUUAGGAUAAUAGUAAGUAUAUGCUUGUAGGUCAUCCAUAGCAACACAAAAGUACCACUUUUGAAAUGACAGGAUAUUUGAAUUGAGUAGCUGCAAGUCAAAACCUCGCAGUAUACACCUCAGAGACUAGAAACAAUAGUUCAAAAUGUUCUUGAAGUAGAUAAGUGAAAGGAUAAUGAUGUUGCCUCGAGGGGAGUGAAUAGGCGUAACCUGAAAUCAUCACCACUUAAAACAAGUUUAUCCACGACUUGCGGAUUAUUCCGGAAAUACUUCCGGAGAUUCCGCAAAUUACGGAAUCUCCGAAGAAAUCUCUGGAAUCUCCGAAGAUAGGAAACACACGCCUUAAGCAGCGGAGUAAAAUUGUCUGCCUGAAAAUCGGAAUUUCCGGUUUCAAAACCAGAACCUCCGAUUUUGGCUCAGGCAGAGCGAACCCCUCAAACCUUAUGCGUUGCAAGUGAGGUUAAGAUCAAACCAAGUUUAGAGAGUAUGCUCAGAUGGUGUAUCUUAGUAGGAUCACAAAGCUCAUGCACUUCACAAACACUAACACCCGAGUAGAUCAACCAAUAUUACGAGAUCAACAAUGAAAUGAAAGUGCAAUGCAAAUGUAAGCAAACCACUGAGGAGACACAAUGAUUUGUUUCACCGAAGUUCAAAUUCACCCUAGGCAAAUCCUACAUCUCCGUUGGAAGCGAAGCUCGACCUGCACAAACUAUCCCACGGCUCACCACACCUUGGGAACUCUUGGGCGACGCCUAGCCGUCAGGAGGCACACCUCCAAGAAUAACAAAUGCGUCACUUGAAACAUGACAAGGAAAACCAGUGCCAAAGUGUAUGAGUGCUCUUCUGGUGCUCUCAAAUGGUUCCUCUCUACAACCCAACUCACGAGAUCUAGCAAAGAUCACACUACCUCACAAAGAGGGGUUGGUGUAACGCCCGCAGAAAUCACCAACUAAAACCACCCGUUAAAAACUAUCUUUAAAAUCUUUUUACCGCUGAGCUCCCGGAAGUCGGAAAUCUCCCCGGCGAUUUCGCCGUCCCGGUACCCAUGCCGACCCCCACAUAUCUUUUUAUCUGUGCCGUAAAUCUCGCCGCGUGCCGUAGUCAGACCGCCGCGCGCGUGCUCUGACCGCGUGCCGCAAUCGCCGCCGGUCCCUCUCUUUUUCUUUCUCCUUUUCCCCCUUUUCUUUUCCUUUCUUUUCUUCCUUCUUCCUUUCUUCCUCCUUCUUCUCUCUUCUUCCUUCCUUCCUCUCUCUCCUUUCUUCUCCUGGCACCCGGCGCCACAUCCACUGGCGCCACUCCUCCGCCUGGCCCGGCGCCAUUACUCCCGCCGGCGCGCGCGCUCCCUGGCGCCACGCCGCCCGGCCACCUGGGGCCCGCCACCGAGCCACGUGCCGCCGCCCGGCGCCGGCUCCCCAGCCGUCUGGCCCGCCGGCCACCCCGGCCGACGCGCCACUCCCGGACCCCUACCUCCCGCACGCCGCGGGACCCGCCCUUUGCCGUGCCGACCACCGCAACGCCACCUCCCAGCUACCAUGCCACCGGCUCGGCCUGCCCGGCCCCUACCCCGUGCUCCGGCCCCGCCGGACACUCCGCCGCACGCCGGCCACCCGGACCCCCACCACCGGAGCUCUCCCCACCGCCUAUAAAAGGGUCGGCCCUCGCCGGCUCCUCUCCCCACUCACCAACACCACCACCCGCCACGCCCUUACUCCGGUCGCCGACGCCGCCUCAAGCCGCUACCGCCGCUGCGAGCCGCCGCCGCCGCCGCAAGCCGCCGCCUCCUCCCGCCCGAAGGCUGACGCCAUCCGGCCGCUCCUCCCCAUUUCCCCCCAAGGUGAGGGGCAAAACGGAGCCCUCCACCCCAUCCUCCACCACCCCGGCCCUCGGCCGCCGCCGGCGAAGCCGACCGGCCGGCCGCCGCCGGCCACCACCCACUCUCUCUCUCUCUUCCUCUGGUUCCUGGAAGAAGAAAGAGCAAAAUUCCUAAGAAUCCCGAUCUGACCCCCUCUUUCCCCCUAUUCGCAAAUGAGUCCUUCCACCACUCCCAAGGGACUCUCACGGAUAAGCCCCUCCACCUCUAUAAAUAUUUACAGAUAGGUCCCUGGUUUAUUACAAAUCAGUCCUAAACCUCCGUUUAAGCCCCUAAUUCAUGUUUAACCCGUCAUUUCAUGCGCCAAACUUCCUCCAAUUAAUCCCAAAUUUUACCACGUCAUCCUCUGGAAUACUUUCGCCGAUCUAUAUCCAAAUUUCCCAAAAAUAAUCCUUCUACCUAUUUUCCGUUCGCGUUUCCUGUUCGGAGCUCACGGUUAAAAACCGUUUCCUCUUUUAUUUAUUUGUGUGUCUGUUUGUGCGUACCGUAGAUCGCAGAUUGCCCGAGGAGGAGCCCGAAGAGGAGUUUGACCGCGAGCCCGAGCCCGAGGACCAGUACCGCGAGCCGGAGCUACCGGAAGGCUUUGAAGACGGCAAGUCCAAUCUCACCCUUUGAUGCAUACUUAAUACCUAGCUUUUCAAACACAACCUAUUGACCUGUUUUACAAAAUGCAUAUUAUUUCAUCGCAAGACAUGGUUGGAUAGCCACCCCUUGAUUGUUAUAAACAUUCCUUGUUAUCCUACGCUUAUCUCUAAAUAUGACUUGCUCUGUUUAGAUGAUAACCACUGCUAGAACGCUUAGGAAUUUGUUACUCAACUGCAAUCAUUAUUACAAUGGUGUAUUCGGAAAAUAAAUGUGUGUGUGUGUCCAAGUAAAAGAAAUGACUUUUGGGUUCGGGGAAAGAGGAUGUGUAGACGGGAUGGAUGGGUGUUCCUUGUGUGGGAUGCCCUGUUGUUGUGCUCGUACCUUGGUGGUUGAGCAAUGUCGGGAGAUAUCCAUCUUGUCAUGAUUAAGGACCGAGUUGAUGUGUCAUCUUGCCUAAUUCCACCAUCGUGCAACCACUCGACCGUUGUAUGGGCAACGGCUUAGCAUAAAUCCCACUAGCUGAAUUGUCAGUCCUCAGGGGUGCUGGUGAGCAACGGGAACCCAUGGAAAAGGAGUAAGAUCUUGGUGACUUAGGUCCCGGUUACGGUAUCAUGGACGAGCCGUGAACCCCUUGGGUGUUUCCGCGAGGACUAGCCAGUCUUAGCUAAGGUGGGUAAUGGCUUUGUUAGGAUCCGUACCGUCACUAAGGUGAUCGUGAUGCGGUACCCUACUUGUGGGAAAAGUGUACACCCUCUGCAGAGUUAAAACCUAUCCGGGUAGCCGUGUCCACGGCAUUGGACGAGUUACAGCUUGGUCACAUAACUAGUACUUGGGCAAGGUUGUCAUGUGUGUGUGUGUGUUGGAUUUUGGAAGAGUCCGGCAGAUGUGCCGUGCGCUAUGGCGGACGGGGAGUCCGAUAGCGAUAAAAGCUUGGAUCCUUUGUGUAGGAUCAACCCCACUCAAUGUUUCGGGUAUUAAAGGAAAACUUUACAAAACCCUUUCGAAAACGAUCCCCUGCAUGUGUUAAAAUUUAGCUUUACCGCAAAUAAACUCUAGCCUAUCCUUGAUGUACCUGUGCAUAAACUUGCUUGUAUCCCCCUCCGUGGAUGGGGUUGGACUUGUUGAGUACGUAUGUACUCACCCUUGCUUCGUUGCUACAGAGGAGGACCCGGACUUCGUCGCCGAGGACCUUGAGUAGAGGUUGUGUCCGCACCCGACGCUGCCUGUGGUGUUGGCCUACCCAAGAUGCUGCUGCUGCCGUGUAGCCCCGAGUGCUGUCUUUUGGUAGUCGCUUGGUUAGCUGCCGUUAUUUAUUUACUGUUUAUCGCUGCGUGGCUUUCACGCCCACUCCCUCGGGAGUUGUACGGUAACUGAAUUAUCUGUCGAAUAAAUGUGUUAUCAGCCUCCUGGGACUGAUAUUUGUAUCACAUUUAGUCUCUACUUAUGUGGGGACGCUUCAGUUGGGGAGAGCUAUUUGGCUUUAGUUCAGUUUAGAACAGGCAAGAAGCACGCCAGCAACUGCAAAAACAGCCCCCAGCCACUUAGGGGGCCGUGGGGUAUAAAUACUCCACUCCCCAACAUAUAGCCGCUAGAGUUGUCAGACCAAAAUCGGAACUUUCAGUUUUCCAAAACUGGAACCUCCGGUUUUUCAAACCAACUAGCUGUUAGGGGUUAAGUUCCGAAGUUUUUCGGAACUUUCUCCAGAAAAUCUGGAACCUCCGGAAUCUUCCGAAAACUCCGGAACUUUUUGUUUUGCUACUUCCUGACCCGUUAGUGUGUACGUGUGGCUUUUUGUGUCUCUCAUCCCUCACAUAGGAUAUUUGAGCACUGAGACUUUGUCAAAUGACCAUGUGAUGUAUCCCUCCUGAUAGUACGACACACCUAUACUCAAGAUCAAAAUAUAAAUACCAUAUUCAUCCUCUUGAGUUUCUUUACCACGAACUAUGCCAUACUUGAUAAUCAUAUCUACUUGAGAGUUGCAUCCAUCUUUGUCUCUUUGGUUUGAGCACUUCAACCUUGAGUUAGUGACUUGGAUCAAUAUUCAACCGCAUAUGAAUGAAAUCCAUUUUUAGAUCACAAGUCACUUCUUCAUAUGACUCAAUUGCAUCCCAUUGCUAUACUCGGUAAGGCUUGACUUGAUACCUCAAAAUCCUCCAAGCACUAGCCGCUUCACCCUAGCAAAGCUCAUGGCCUAAGUCACUACUUGACCAAACUUUGCCUAGUACUUCGUUGCUAAUCGCUUGCUUGAUUUCUUCAUCCAAUCGCUGUCGUAUUUGAGUAUAGCUAUGUUUUGACCUCACGAAUGAAAUCCACUUGAGAUUAUAUCUUCUUUUAACUUCUAUAUCACAUUUGUUUAUAACAAGCUUCUCAUUUUAUUUAGAGACUAACUAAUAUCUCAAUGCCAUCAUGCCUCUAGCUUUACUUCAAUUUGCUUUGUCACAUGUCACACAUAGCCAUCAUGGGAUCCACAUAAUAUUCCUUAUUAUGACAUUCAUCUUUAACUCAAGCAAUCUUGCAAUAUGAGGCUACCCAAGCCUCAACUCUCUUUUACACCAUUGCUUGCUUAGAUGAACAAUGCCAUAUACAAUACUUGUUAUUUUCAUUGUAUGAGCCAUUUAAUACAAUCUUUCUCACAAAGAUUAUUUAUCAAUAGCAUUAUACCUGCUCAUAUACUUAACAAGUUCAUUAGAUCUUUAAUCAUGUUGUCAUUCAACUCACCAAAACUCACUAGGAGCCUAGAUCCUCUUUCAAUAAGGAAUGAGAUACCUUAUUUAGAAGCACACUUGAUACUGAUGCAUGAUUUUAUGAACAUUGGCAAUGGAGAUGAAGAAGUUUAUUAAUUCUUUCCAUCAAAUAAAAUAUAGGGAUUACGACAGCUGUGUAUUUGAUAAAAUUUACUCCAAGACCAAUCAUGAAAUUAAUUUAUUUCGAGUGAGAAUAUAUAUAGCACAUACAGAACUUGCUAAUACUCCAAAGUGAAUGUCAUGUAUCUAGGGCGUCUGGGCUUGAGCCGGCCCAACAGCACGUGGUCCAACAGGCUCAACAUGCCGACAAAAGGGAUUGUGCUACAGUAACCACGAGUGCUAUAGUACGCCUAGUGCUGAGAGUCCGCCUAGGUGAGGAUUUAGAGUCUAGGAAAUAGUAUUGCUUGUAAUUCAAGUCGAGUUACGUUUGCUUGUAAGUUAAGUUAGCUCCUCCCUAGAAAUAUGAGAGGAGGGGUAAUGGAUUCAAUCACGUAGGAAAAAUAGCUUAGUUCCUCUCCUACCUUUUGCUAAUGCAAUCUGAAACAGCUUCCCAGCCAUGCACCUCCCCAUCAUGAACAGUAACACCCCCAGCCAACCCUCCUUGGCCUCCAGCCACCCUCUCCUCCCUCUACAAUAAUUCAAGUACAUGACAUAUUGGUAUUCAAAACCAACAAUCUUUGGAUCUAGGUAGAAAAUUUUCUACCCAAUUUUUUCUCUCCCUCCUAAAACCACCUUUCUGUGAUGGAAGUUAACGACAACAAAACUGAAGGAGAUCAUGAAAAGAUCCUUACGAAAAUUGGAUAUUCUCGACGAAGCAAUAGAAACUUUUUGUAGAAUUGGGGAGCUAACACCUUCAACCAUGGCGGAAUCACACGGCUCUGCUCACCACGUAAACAGUGGUUGUGGUACUGUUCAUGAUGUGAAAGUACCUGUGGUACUGUUCGCCUCGUGGACAUCCCCAGUUUGACCGCCUACAAGAUGGGAAACGCCAGCGACAUUGCUGAAUAUCAAUCUGCUUCAUCAAUAACAAUCCCGACUAGCUACACCACGACCGUGUUUGCAUCUACUACACUAUGUCGUGCCUUGCAUCAUCAUCUUCCUCAACGCACAUGUGCUGCGUCAGAAGCAAU
rnacentral:lncRNA from 1 species